UUCUACAUCAGGUCCUGAAAGCUGAAUCAGAGGAGUCUUUGCAUAAUCUUAUUUUGCAAAACAGCACAAUCUUCAAACUGCUGGAUGCCUCAGAAACGUCAAGCCUUUUGAGAAACAAGCAUUUGUGGAGGAGUACCUCAGAUGGUACAUCCUUGAAAGAAACCAAAGUGUCAUUCAACGAUUUAAAGAUGGACUGGAAAGUCUGAAUUUUUAAGUGCACUGCAACAAAAUUCCAGUGUGCUGGCCCCACUCCUAUGCUUCUCUGCCAAGGCCCUGACUGCUUCAGAACUGGAGAGCAUGUUCAGACCAGAUCUCAGCCCAGCAGGAAGCAACAAGCGGCAUAAGGAGGUCCUAACACUUGGCUUUAGGGCAGAUUAUCUCCUUGAUUGUGAAGAGAAGGCAACAGCAGUGUGUCUGGAAGAUUUGAUGUUUGCCACAGGGCUGACGGCAGUUCCACCGGCAGGAAUGACACCACCACCAUGCAUCCAGUUUUUAAGUGUUUCGCCUUUUCCAGUUGCAAACAUCUGUGCAAAUACUCUGAAGCUACCCAUCUGUGACUCAUACAGCAUCUUUAAGGCCAACAUGGACUUUGGAAUUCAAAAUGCUCCAGGAUUUGGAUGUUCUUAAAUCAGCAAGGUCAUCAAGUUACAGUUACUGAGUUACCCUGUUAGGUUCAGCUGCCGUUGGCAUACUACUUAACACAUUCAUGUGACAAGCAACUUCCAUAUUGUUAAACAUUUAGUUGUUUUUUCUGAAUAUUGUGGAUGUUGGAAAAGUGACAG